AGUGAACGCUGGCGGUAGGCCUAACACAUGCAAGUCGAACGGCAGCACAGUAAGAGCUUGCUCUUACGGGUGGCGAGUGGCGGACGGGUGAGGAAUACAUCGGAAUCUACUUUUUCGUGGGGGAUAACGUAGGGAAACUUACGCUAAUACCGCAUACGACCUACGGGUGAAAGCAGGGGAUCUUCGGACCUUGCGCGAUUGAAUGAGCCGAUGUCGGAUUAGCUAGUUGGCGGGGUAAAGGCCCACCAAGGCGACGAUCCGUAGCUGGUCUGAGAGGAUGACACGCCACAGUGGAACAGAGACGGGUCCCAGCCCCCGGCGGGGGGCAGCAGGGGGGAAUAUGGGACAAGGGGCCAAACCCGUACCCAGCAAUCCCGGGGGGGGGAAGAGGGCCUUCGGUUUGUAAACCCUUUUUGUGGGGAAAAAAAAGAGGCAGUUUAACCCCCCGCUGUUCUGACGCGCCCAAAAAAAAAACCCCGGCCUAACUUCGUC
rnacentral:rRNA from 1 species